CUCAUUUAAGGGCUAGCCUUCAAUGGGAGAACGUCUUCUGGGCAAUGGCUACUUUCUGAGAAGAAGUGUUUUGUAGUCAGAAACUGAAUCACUGCUUAGGUGGAAGCCCCCCUUUCGACAGAAUGAUGACUCCUGCUCAGGACAAAGCAGUUUGUCAAGUUGUAACUCCAGGAAGUUCGUAACUAAGCAAUAGGUCAGCUGUUGAAAAGUUCAGAUCUAAAGAUGCUCAUUUGGGAAACUUCUGACAAGAAGUUCUCUGAGGCCUGCUCAGCCUACACAGAAGAAUCUAUCAAGAGAAACCUUCAAGUCUCACAGAGGAGGAGAUAUUUAUGUGGUCUAUAUGGUCAAAUAUAUAUAUGUAUAUCGAAUUCUGUGAUCAGAUCAGAAAGCCAACUGUAUCCUCGGUUGCAUCAAGAGAAGAGUGACCAGCAGGUUGAAGGAUGUGAUUCUGUCCCUCUACUCUGCUCCACCUGGAAUACUGCAUCCAGUUCUGGAGCCCCCAACACAAGGAGGACAUGGAGUUGUUGAAGCAAGUCCAGAGAGCUGGCUAGCGUGUAAAACACUCUACAACACUCUGCAAAGAGUGUAAAAUGCUGCAAAACAGCCUAAUCUCUACUGUAGCAUUCUGCUUUGAUAUUGAUGAUAACUUGAUGAAGUAACACAUGAAAAACUGUUCCAGAAAGUGCAAGAGAGGAAGAAAGAAGAAACAAAGACAACAUACUUCUUUUUCCCUCAAAAAUCAGGGGACGAAUUCACUCUGGACCUCAGGUUAAGUUAUGAAGGAUCUGGCACCAACUGGGUAUCUUUGAGGCAACAUGAGCAACUGGAAGCACUUACUGCAUUCAAACUUGUCAGUUUUUCACCUGUGGUAUUUUCUGGUCAGGUCAAGAAGUGCUUUCAGUGGAACUACAACAUCUAGAACAAAAAUUUGACACAGGUUGCCCUCAAGGCACUCACUGAUCUGAAGGGGUAAAGCAUGAGCACUGUAACAAAGAACUGUGUGUUUAAUCCUCAGAAUCUGAAGAAAGACCCUAGAGAAGGUGAAGAUGGGACUAGAGAAGAAGAGGCUCCAUUGUACUCAACAGCUGCAUAAAAAGUUUUCUAUCAAUAGCCCUAACAGGGAAAGUGAGCUAUCAGGUGCACAGGUCUAGAGAAGCUAAGGAAUUUAUGGUAGAUAUAUCUAGAUUUCCAUAAUUAGGCUCUCAUUAAGUACCUAUAUCUUAAUCAGAUAUAAAACCCAGUAUAUCCAUGACUUUAUCCAGUCCCUUGAGCACAGAUGGACAGUAGAACUGACCUCCUAGUUUUGUAAAAUGACAAAAGUAUCAAAAUGCAUUAAAUUCUUAUUACUUCAUCAGGCCACACCAACCAUACUCUUCUCAAAAUAACAUUAAAUCCUACUUAUGGUUACCCAGUAGGUCUGCGUGCAAUUGCCUUGCUCAUUUGGAUGUAUCAGCUUCUUUCUAACAGCAGCUUGUUGAUCUUUAGGAAAUUUUAGCUGCAAGUAUGCAAAUCUGCUAUACUGAUCUAAAUAUUUCCUCUUCUUUUCACCUAAUAAAAUAGAAACACAUAUUCAGAAUUCCUUAAAUACUUAUAAAUGCAUUACAUUCUUAUCUCCUCUGUAGUCUGCUGUCAGAAAUGUUUAUUGAGGUUACUCAUCAGGUUCAUGAUUUCAUGACACAUUCUACAAAUAAUCUAUGAGGUUACUGUUACUGUCAUGUAUCUGUAUUAUCUCAAAAUAUAAUAUUUCUGUCUCAGUCCUAACCCUUCUCUUCUCAGUGCUUUUCUCAUCUUAAGAUUUGUAUACAGAAAAUUCAAAACUUCAUGUUGUGUGACUACUCAGAAAUGGGCUUUAUUAAUUGAAACUUAAAGGAGUUCCCAUUUUCCAAGCUCUCACUUCUAUUUUUCCUAUAGCUGUUUGUUUGUUUGUUUUUAUCAUCAGUCCAAAACAAGUUUUUCAGAACUCCUCCUAUAACACUGUGGUCAGAAAUUAUCUUACAGCUUUAGAUGGAUGAGCUGAAUUCAGGAUAUGCACACUUCUGUUUUCCUUCUGCCAACAGUUUAUAUAUCAUUAAAACAAAGAAAAUUGUUUUAAUAAAGGAACUUUUUUUCUUGGAUAUAUUGAAGCACAAUGUUAAAAUCUUAGCAGAGUCAUUAAAAUGGAUAUUUUUGACAUAUUAAAAAUUAUUUUUAAAGAUUGCAGCUAAGAAAUUGCAGGCACCUUGAAUAACAACAUAAGAAGUUUGACCAUGAGACCGUAAUGAGUCCCUUUUCAACAAUUUAAACUUUUAAGGCAUAUAUUUCUAAUGUCUUUACUGACUGCACUGUUCUGCAGGAAAACAAGCAAAAAACCCAAAAAACUGCAGGAAAAAAGAAAGGUCUAAAAUCUUUUCCUAGUGUUCAAUAAAACCAAUGUGUAAAUCCAGUGAAAUCAAUAAGAACUGAAGACAGAAAAUGAAGAUGAGGGAAGUACACAACUCUUCAACAUUUUGUCUGUAUCUCACACUCGUAGGUACCAGGAGCAGGGACUUAAUGUUAUGUAUCUAACAUUCAAAGUAAUAGAAUUGCAAAACAUAAAACUAGGAACUCAUUUGUCAUUAAAACACUGUCUAUACAGCUCUAAUAGUGUAUGAUGUGAAAGACAAGCAGAUAUGCAUAUAUAUUUAUAUAUGUAAAUACUUAUGUAUAAGUACAUUCUUUUUCUUGUUUACUUUCCAUAUGUCUGGUUCUACCAGAAAUCCACUUGGUGUAGACAAGAAUGUGCUGAAAUGAUAUUAAAAUAAAAUUCUAUGCACACAGCCACAU
ensembl:lncRNA